rnacentral:lncRNA from 1 species
CAGUGCUGUUCGUUGGUGUUCCCACUUCAUACAAAUUAAUGCUACAACGACCGUGGGUUUUUUUUUUUCUUUUGUGGUCCCCUUGUGUCUAAGUUUUGUAUAUAUGUGUGUAUGUGUGUGUCUACAUGCACACAUUUAAAGCAGUUGCUGGCACAGUUGGCUGGAAACAUAAAUGUAAAAUGAGAAGUGUUAAUGAAAACUGGAACUUAGCCAAGAUGAAUACUCUGCUGGAUGGAGAUGGAGAUGGAAAAUGGAUCUGUAGGGAACCAGCUAAAGCACUUAGUGAAGUUUUAUAUUUACAAAUCUGGGGAGAUUCCAAGGACAUGGGAGAGCGCCAUGGCUGAUCUGGGACUUCACAAGCCUCAGUGGGACACUCUGGGGAGCAAUCGGCUGCUUAGCAGGACAGCAUCCUUCGACAGACUCACCAGACAUUAAUUCAGGCCUCCAACAACAAGGAAUUAGAGGCUAAAAAUAAAAGCAGCACUAAUCAGCUGGGUUUCGUGGAAGUGCCUCUGCUCGACGUGGGAUUGCUGCCAACUAUGACAUCUCCCCUAGGAUCAACAACACAGAGACCAGGAAUAACCAACAGCUGGACUCAUUCAGGCCUUCCUUUCAGGAAAGAAAUUACACUGUGAUUAAUGAGCAAAGCAGAGGGCAGAAAGCGAGGCGUUGGGGGUGCUCCAGGGAAAGGCUGGGCUCCCAUGCCUGUCCCUAUGGCCAUUCCCCACCCAUGUUGGAGGUCCUCCAAAGUCGAGGUUGUUCCCCAUUGCUGUGGUGGUGGCACUGGGGACAGAGGAGGAACAGGGGUGUGGAUGGACACAGAUCCCCUCUCAGUGCAGGGGUCCCUGGGCAGGGAGCUAAAGCUCAGUGCCUACAGUGGUGUAGGGCAGGCAGUGCAGGCAAGAGCCCAUUUUCGCUGCAGAGCUGUAAUAAUGUGUUCCAGGGCUGUUUUCAUGUGGAACAAUCCUCUCUGAGCUAUAAUUACACUCAGUCGCCCCAGAAAAUCAGCAGAAACUCUAAUCCUUUCAGCUGUGUGAGUACAAUGCAAGCAGGCACGUGGCCAGUACACACUGCUGCUGCCAAUCCUGCUAGCCCACCACACUGACAGCACCAAGCCCCCAACCAUCUCCUUCUUUUUGGAGACCUCAGCAUGCACCCAUGCAAUCAUAGAAUCAUUGAAUCAUAGAGUCAUAGAAUCAAUAAGACUGGAAAAGACCUCUAAGAUCAUCUAGUCCAAUCCAUCACCACAAUGGCCACUAAACCAUGUCCCUCAGUGUCACACCUACAUGUUUCUUGAAAACCGAGGUCCCAUCAUUACAUACCAAGAGCACAACCAGGGUGAGGGGAGAUGGUGUUGGGCUGCGAUUGCCUGCAGGAGGCCCUGCAGGUUGGGGCCUGCAUGUAGCUGCAGCAUCCUGGAGCAGCGUGAGGCUUCCCCCAGUCACCAGAGAACCCCAGGUGGGGUGGGCAGGGCAAGAAGACCUUGCUGGCCCCAUGCCAGGGAGCAGGGCACUUGCUGAGGUGUCCCAAUAUCUCAUUUGUUCAUUUGCCACACCCGUGGGUGAGGAAAACGGUAUUGUUCCUGGUUAUUCUGAGAUCGAUGCUAACCAGCAUGGCGUGAGGGGCAGACAAAAGCAAUGAUGCACAAAGGAAAAAAAUUACCCAGGACUCAAUUCAGAAGGAUAGGGGUGGAGACCCCUCUGCUUUACCUGCUCGUGCUGGGACAAAACUGCAGAUGCCACCUUGAUGCUCAGUGAGAAGGUGCUGGGGCUGCCAUCUUUCUUACAGCUCCAGGGCACCCCGCAAACACCACUUGCCUUCCUGGUGGAUCUGCAUAGCUUCAGAAUCCACCUGCCCCUGGACAUCCUCUCAGAGGGCAGAAUUUACCCAUUUUCCCAGGAGCUACUUAAUGGGAGGAGAUUGCAGCUUAUGGUUGAGAUGAGCAUUGCUUCACCUCCUCAGGGCUCCAAUGGAUAUGCCUCCACUAUACAGACUGAUUGCAAAUCUGCCUCCCUACCCUCAGGUGCCUAUUUCACCACUUCCUGGAAGCACCCCACUGCAGUCAUUGGCACCACACUGCACCUGAAACUGAAAGUUCAGCAGAAUCAAAGUGUACCUCUCCGUGGUGGUUGCUGAUGGAGAUCAUUGGAGCAUGCAGGGGGUCCUGACUCACUUUUGGACUCCAGGAAGAGCUGAAGCAAAGUUUCAAGAGCACCAGAGCAGAGCUCGGAUGAGAUGAAACAUCUCCUGGUUUUGAAAUGUGUGGCUUAUUGUGGAUGGCCAGAUGGAUGUGAGAGUAAAGGAAACUGUCUACUCAACAUUUUCACAGAGAAAACUGCCAAGCUAGAAAGUGAAGUCCAUGGAAGUCCAGGAGGGAAAAAGAACAGGAAUGGUCAAAAACAAAGUCCUGCGGCUAUUGGAACAUCAUCAGUUCUGGCUUCUGGAGGCCCGGUGCACCACAUUACAACCACGGAAGAAUGUGUUUUUAAAGUAAUUAUUUAAAUAGUGUUAAUUAGCUCUAUAAAAAUGAAAAAGAAUUUUUUUUUUCAUUGGGGAUCAUAAUAGGAUUUAUUUCUAUGAGAAAAAAUAAGGCUUUUUCAUAUUUCUUCAGCUUAUUAAAUUACCUCAUGUUCUUUUAACUCACACUAGAUUAAUAGCAAGGGAAAUUUCAAAUACAACUUGAUGUGAUUUAA